rfam:Oryza sativa Japonica Group DNA, chromosome 5, cultivar: Nipponbare, complete sequence.
AACCACACUAUCGAUGAAUGGAUUCACUCGCGAGAUGAUGUGGUUGUUUCACAUAGGACAAGGACAUGGCAUCCUAUUACCAGCCAUCACACAAAAUUAACAGGAUGCCACGUCCCCAUCCUAGAUGGAACAACCACGUCAUCUCACGGGUGAAUCCAUUCAUCGAUAGUGUGGUU